rnacentral:tRNA from 1 species
AUUACUAUUGUAUAUUAAUAAAAUACGUGUGUUUGGAAAUAAUAUAAAAUCUUAUCGUAUAUUCUUUAUUUUUUUAUUUUAAAAAUAAUGUAAUAAGUUUUAUAUUAAAAUUAUCUAUUAGUUUUUAGAAAUUAUUUUAUUAUUUUAUUAAAGAAUUGUUUUAUAUUUAUAUAAAAUAGAUAAUCUAUGAAAUUAUUUAUGAACAUAAAAAUAAUAAUAAUUUUAAAUAUUAUUAUUAUUA